rnacentral:rRNA from 1 species
GACGAACGCUGGCGGCGUGCUUAACACAUGCAAGUCGAGCGGUAAGGCCCUUUCGGGGGUACGACGAGCGGCGAACGGGUAGGAGUAACAACGUGGGUGGACCUCGCCCUCCAGCUCUGGGAGUAAGACCUCGGGAAACCGGGGUACCGUAAUAACUGGAGUAUGACUCCAUGACGCAUGUUGUGGGGUGGGAAAGACCUUG